ACGCAUUGAAUUAUCAGCAAUAGAAUUAUUAAUUCAAGCAUGUGAAAAGGCAAAGACAAUGGACAUUGAGGUACAUUUGAAUUGCCACAGGCGAAAGUUGCAAAUACUGAUGCUAGCAGCUGGUAUCGAUGAAUAUGAAACUCUUCGUCAAAAGUAUGGGUUAAAUGCACUUUCUGCCAAUGAUAUCAUCUCGAAAGAAGAUCCUGGCAAUCAUGGGUUGGACUUAGUGAUGGAG
rnacentral:misc_RNA from 1 species